rnacentral:rRNA from 1 species
GGUUAAGCGACUAAGCGUACACGGUGGAUGCCCUGGCAGUCAGAGGCGAUGAAGGACGUGCUAAUCUGCGAAAAGCGUCGGUAAGGUGAUAUGAACCGUUACAGCCGGCGAUGUCCGAAUGGGGAAACCCAGUGUGAUUCGUCACACUAUCGUUAACUGAAUACAUAGGUUAACGAGGCGAACCGGGGGAACUGAAACAUCUAAGUACCCCGAGGAAAAGAAAUCAACCGAGAUUCCCCCAGUAGCGGCGAGCGAACGGGGAGCAGCCCAGAGUCUGAAUCAGCUUGUGUGUUAGUGGAACGGUCUGGAAAGUCCGACGGUACAGGGUGAUAGUCCCGUACACCAAAAUGCACAGGCUGUGAACUCGAAGAGUAGGGCGGGACACGUGGUAUCCUGUCUGAAUAUGGGGGGACCAUCCUCCAAGGCUAAAUACUCCUGACUGACCGAUAGUGAACCAGUACCGUGAGGGAAAGGCGAAAAGAACCCCGGCGAGGGGAGUGAAAAAGAACCUGAAACCGUGUACGUACAAGCAGUGGGAGCACCUUUAUGGUGUGACUGCGUACCUUUUGUAUAAUGGGUCAGCGACUUAUAUUCUGUAGCAAGGUUAACCGUAUAGGGGAGCCGCAGGGAAACCGAGUCUUAACUGGGCGUUAAGUUGCAGGGUAUAGACCCGAAACCCGGUGAUCUAGCCAUGGGCAGGUUGAAGGUUGGGUAACACUAACUGGAGGACCGAACCGACUAAUGUUGAAAAAUUAGCGGAUGACUUGUGGCUGGGGGUGAAAGGCCAAUCAAACCGGGAGAUAGCUGGUUCUCCCCGAAAGCUAUUUAGGUAGCGCCUCGUGAACUCAUCUUCGGGGGUAGAGCACUGUUUCGGCUAGGGGGUCAUCCCGACUUACCAACCCGAUGCAAACUACGAAUACCGAAGAAUGUUAUCACGGGAGACACACGGCGGGUGCUAACGUCCGUCGUGAAGAGGGAAACAACCCAGACCGCCAGCUAAGGUCCCAAAGUCAUGGUUAAGUGGGAAACGAUGUGGGAAGGCACAGACAGCCAGGAUGUUGGCUUAGAAGCAGCCAUCAUUUAAAGAAAGCGUAAUAGCUCACUGGUCGAGUCGGCCUGCGCGGAAGAUGUAACGGGGCUAAACCAUGCACCGAAGCUGCGGCAGCGACACUAUGUGUUGUUGGGUAGGGGAGCGUUCUGUAAGCCUGCGAAGGUG